rnacentral:rRNA from 1 species
ACUCCUACGGGAGGCAGCAGUAGGGAAUCUUCCACAAUGGACGAAAGUCUGAUGGAGCAACGCCGCGUGAGUGAAGAAGGGUUUCGGCUCGUAAAACUCUGUUGUUAAAGAAGAACAUAUCUGAGAGUAACUGUUCAGGUAUUGACGGUAUUUAACCAGAAAGCCACGGCUAACUACGUGCCAGCAGCCGCGGUAAUACGUAGGUGGCAAGCGUUGUCCGGAUUUAUCGGGGCGUAAAGCGAGCGCAGGCGGUUUUUAAGUCUGAUGUGAAAGCCUUCGGCUCAACCGAAGAAGUGCAUCGGAAACUGGGAAACUUGAGUGCAGAAGAGGACAGUGGAACUCCAUGUGUAGCGGUGAAAUGCGUAGAUAUAUGGAAGAACACCAGUGGCGAAGGCGGCUGUCUGGUCUGUAACUGACGCUGAGGCUCGAAAGUAUGGGUAGCAAACAGGAUUAGAUACCCUGGUAGGAUAGCG